ACGGGUGAGUAAUGCUUAGGAAUCUGCCUAUUAGUGGGGGGCAACAUUCCGAAAGGAAUGCUAAUACCGCAUACGCCCUACGGGGGAAAGCAGGGGAUCUUCGGACCUUGCGCUAAUAGAUGAGCCUAAGUCAGAUUAGCUAGUUGGUGGGGUAAAGGCCUACCAAGGCGACGAUCUGUAGCGGGUCUGAGAGGAUGAUCCGCCACACUGGGACUGAGACACGGCCCAGACUCCUACGGGAGGCAGCAGUGGGGAAUAUUGGACAAUGGGCGCAAGCCUGAUCCAGCCAUGCCGCGUGUGUGAAGAAGGCCUUUUGGUUGUAAAGCACUUUAAGCGAGGAGGAGGCUACUUGGAUUAAUACUCUAGGAUAGUGGACGUUACUCGCAGAAUAAGCACCGGCUAACUCUGUGCCAGCAGCCGCGGUAAUACAGAGGGUGCGAGCGUUAAUCGGAUUUACUGGGCGUAAAGCGUGCGUAGGCGGCUUUUUAAGUCGGAUGUGAAAUCCCUGAGCUUAACUUAGGAAUUGCAUUCGAUACUGGGAAGCUAGAGUAUGGGAGAGGAUGGUAGAAUUCCACGUGUAGCGGUG
rnacentral:rRNA from 1 species